UACGUAGGGCGCAAGCGUUGUCCGGAAUUAUUGGGCGUAAAGAGCUCGUAGGCGGCCUGUUGCGUCCGCUGUGAAAUCCCGGGGCUCAACCCCGGGCGUGCAGUGGAUACGGGCUGGCUGGAGGCAGGCAGGGGAGAACGGAAUUCCUGGUGUAGUGGUGAAAUGCGUAGAGAUCGGGAGGAACACCGGUGGCGAAGGCGGCCAGCUGGCGCUGACCUGACGCUGAGGCGCGAAGGCGUGGGGAGCGAACGGG
rnacentral:rRNA from 1 species